rnacentral:rRNA from 1 species
AGUGAACGCUGGCGGUAGGCCUAACACAUGCCAGUCGAACGGCAGCACAGUAAGAGCUUGCUCUUACGGGUGGCGAGUGGCGGACGGGUGAGGAAUACAUCGGAAUCUACUUUUUCGUGGGGGAUAACGUAGGGAAACUUACGCUAAUACCGCAUACGACCUACGGGUGAAAGCAGGGGAUCUUCGGACCUUGCACGAUUGAAUGAGCCGAUGUCGGAUUAGCUAGUUGGCGGGGUAAAGGCCCACCAAGGCGACGAUCCGUAGCUGGUCUGAGAGGAUGAUCAGCCACACUGGAACUGAGACACGGUCCAGACUCCUACGGGAGGCAGCAGUGGGGAAUAUUGGACAAUGGGCGCAAGCCUGAUCCAGCCAUACCGCGUGGGUGAAGAAGGCCUUCGGGUUGUAAAGCCCUUUUGUUGGGAAAGAAAAGCAGCAGGUUAAUACCCCGCUGUUCUGACGGUACCCAAAGAAUAAGCACCGGCUAACUUCGU